CCUGCAGCUGUCUCUUUCUCUGCAGAAUUGGUCUGAUGGAGCAAAGGCACUCGGCGCAGCUCGGUGCAAAAAGGCAUCAAUGCGACCGUACAAGGUAAUCGCUUGGUCAGAACACAGAGUUAUGCAGAAGCCAUUGACAAGUUUACCGACGCAAUUAACUUAUGUCCGCGCGAUCAUCGCUUUUAUGGAAAUCGGUCAUUUUGUUUGGAACAUCUUGGCUUGUACACUGAUGCCUUGUUCGAUGCGGAGAUCGCUAUAUAUCUAAACCCAACAUGGCCCCGGGGAUACUUCAGACAAGCGCGGGCUUGCAUUGGACUGAAGCGUUACAGAGAGGCAGAAAGUGCGUUAUGUCAGCUGAUUUCUUUAAAUGUGUCUUCUGAAGAAGCAAAACAAGAGCUUAGGAAAGUGCGAACACUUCUCCUUGUGGAGAUGGGCUUUCCACAGCAGCAGUCGGAGGCUGCAAUCUUGGAGUACGACACGGUGUACGCCGCUUCAGAAGCACUGCUUCGAAACACAGGUUCCUUGUCAACAUCCGGUGUGGGCAACGUGGGGAUACAGAAUGAUAAACCACCAAGUCCUCAGCCUACUGUAGAUGUCGCCGCACAGAGGAGCCAAGACUCACGUGGUGCUUUGGGCAAUUCUCCAGUGCCUCCACCACCUUCGUAUAAGCAUAUGGGUGGGAAAUAUCACUUCUGCUGUUACUGAAAAAAUGCUUCAAAAGCUGUUUCGCCCAUUUGGACAGAUCCACAGCAUCCGAAUACUGGUGGACAGGAAGUGUGCGUUUGUCAACUACACGGACGAGGAGGCCGCUGAGAGAGCUCUCUGGUCCCUGCAGGGACACAGAGUAGCAGACACCAAUCUGCUCAUCGACUUCCAGAGUGUCUCCGCAAAGACCAUCGCAGCCGCCUUUCAGCAGCCUUCAGCAGUUCCGCCAGAACACGAUGAGUUUACCGGUCUGUCUCCUUGAAUGUACUUCAAACCCACCCUGAUCACAGGGCCACUGUGUU